UUCGUAGGCGGUGUGGCAAGUCAGGAGUGAAAUCUCUGGGCUUAACUCAGAGGCUGCUUCUGAAACUGCUGUGCUUGAGUGUGGGAGAGGCGCGUGGAAUUGCAGGUGUAGCGGUGAAAUGCGUAGAUAUCUGCAGGAACACCCGUGGCGAAAGCGGCGCGCUGGACCACAACUGACGCUGAGGAACGAAAGCUAGGGGAGCAAACAGGAUUAGAUACCCUGGUAGUCCUAGCCCUAAACGAUCAGGACUUGGGGUGCCGCCCGCUCGGGCGUCGUCCCGGAGCUAACGCGUUAAGUCCUGCACCUGGGGAGUACGGUCGCAAGACUGAA
rnacentral:rRNA from 1 species